GUUGCCUGUUGUUGCUUGAAGCUGGUUGUUGGUUUUGAGAUGGAGAUCUCUGGGAGAUUUUUGCCAUUUGAUAUUACAUGGAGCUGGAAGGUCUCCUGUGGACCAGUGUCAUGAAGUUGGGUCUCCCAGCUCUGUGGCAGAGCCCUGAUGCCUGGCUGGGGCCCCAAGAGACUGUACUCCACACAGCUCAGAAGAAAAGGGAGAAAAAAUAGAAAG